CAGCAGCCGCCGCGGUAAUACAGAGUGUGCGAGCGUUAAUCGGAUUUACUGGGCGUAAAGCGUGCGUAGGCGGCUUCUUAAGUCGGAUGUGAAAUCCCUGAGCUUAACUUAGGAAUUGCAUUCGAUACUGGGAAGCUAGAGUAUGGGAGAGGAUGGUAGAAUUCCAGGUGUAGCGGUGAAAUGCGUAGAGAUCUGGAGGAAUACCGAUGGCGAAGGCAGCCAUCUGGCCUAAUACUGACGCUGAGGUACGAAAGCAUGGGGAGCAAACAGGAUUAGAUACCCCAGUAGUCCCUGUCUCUUAUAC
rnacentral:rRNA from 1 species